AGAUUAUCUCAAAACAUUUUAUUGAAAAAGGCAGUACGUUUACUUAAUUUCUUCUGUUUAUGGUCUGAACAACUAUAUGCAAGUUUUAUGUAAAAACAGAAUCAGAUCUAGAAAAGCAUUUAAGAAGUACUCAUUUUGUAAAGCAGUUCAUAUAUCCUUGACCACAGCUGGAACAACUGAAGUUUAAGUAUGACUUUCAAGAGAUUAAUAAAAUAAGCCUCUGAUCUCAAUACCUCACCAAGUGACUGCUUUCUUCAGCAUUUAUACAAGACUAUUCUUCAGAACGCAUUGCCAAUUUUCAUUUGUCAUGAUAAUUAGUAUCUAAUUAUAUUAUUGUAUAUGUUACAUCAUCUGUAAUAUUUCAUUAAUAAAUUAUUCCAAAAGUGAAUA